rnacentral:rRNA from 1 species
CCUACGGGGGGCAGCAGUGGGGAAUAUUGGACAAUGGGCGAAAGCCUGAUCCAGCCAUGCCGCGUGUGUGAAGAAGGCCUUCGGGUUGUAAAGCACUUUCAGUGGGGAAGAAAGCCUUGGGGCUAAUACCCUCGAGGAAGGACAUCACCCACAGAAGAAGCACCGGCUAACUCCGUGCCAGCAGCCGCGGUAAUACGGAGGGUGCGAGCGUUAAUCGGAAUUACUGGGCGUAAAGCGCGCGUAGGCGGUCUGAUAAGCCGGUUGUGAAAGCCCCGGGCUCAACCUGGGAACGGCAUCCGGAACUGUCAGGCUAGAGUGCAGGAGAGGAAGGGAGAAUUCCCGGUGUAGCGGUGAAAUGCGUAGAGAUCGGGAGGAAUACCAGUGGCGAAGGCGGCCUUCUGGACUGACACUGACGCUGAGGUGCGAAAGCGUGGGUAGCAAACAGGAUUAGAUACCCUGGUGUC